rnacentral:rRNA from 1 species
CCUACGGGAGGCAGCAGUGGGGGAUAUUGCACAAUGGGGGGAACCCUGAUGCAGCGACGCCGCGUGGGUGAAGGAGUGCUUCGGCAUGUAAAGCCCUAUCGGCAGGGAAGAAGCAAGACGGUACCUGACUAAGAAGCCCCGGCUAACGACGUGCCAGCAGCCGCGGUAAUACGUAGGGGGCGAGCGUUAUCCGGAUUCACUGGGUGUAAAGGGAGCGUAGACGGCGAUGCAAGCCAGGGGUGAAAGCCCGGGGCCAAACCCCGGGACUGCCCUUGGAACUGUGCGGCUAGAGUGCGGGAGGGGCAGGCGGAAUUCCUGGUGUAGCGGUGAAAUGCGUAGAUAUCAGGAGGAACACCGGCGGCGAAGGCGGCCUGCUGGACCGCGACUGACGUUGAGGCUCGAAAGCGUGGGGAGCGAACAGGAUUAGAUACCCUGGUAGUC